rnacentral:lncRNA from 1 species
GAACAUUAUCAAUGACCUUUUCUGCAUCUGACCUUCACUGGUCUGCCUUUUGCCUUGUAUCACCAGCGUCUUUUCCACAGUGCAAAUUUCCAACCAGAACACUGCCAAAACAGAAGAAAAACAACUAAACCUGAGCCUAUCACAUUCAGGAAAGUCUGAGGAUAAAGGAAUGAACCUUCCGUAAGGAGCAUGGAAGUGAGCCAAGGGCGAAGGGCAUUGGAAUAAUGACGGCAAGA